rnacentral:other from 1 species
UUUUCCCUGCGGUGUUGGUGGAAGUUUAAGCGUAUUUAUUCCUACAAGUCCAAAAAUUAGGAGGAGCGCAAGACGAGUGUAAGCCCGUGGGCUUAUGCCUCUGCUCCUCACCUAUUUAAAAAGGGCUUAAAUCGUUUAGACGUUCACGGCAUCGCGGGGUUUUU